GAUGAACGCUGGCGGCGUGCCUAACACAUGCAAGUCGAGCGAGAAGUAAAGAAAUGAAGCUUCGGUAGAUUUUCAUUAUGGAAAGCGGCGGACGGGUGAGUAACGCGUAGGCAACCUGCCCUGUACAGGGGGAUAGCCACCCGAAAAGGUGAUUAAUACCCCAUGAUGCAAGAGAUACACAUGUAUCACUUGUCAAAAAUUUAUCGGUAUGGGAUGGGCCUGCGUCUGAUUAGCUAGUUGGUAGGGUAACGGCUUACCAAGGCAACGAUCAGUAGCCGACCUGAGAGGGUGAUCGGCCACAUUGGAACUGAGACACGGUCCAAACUCCUACGGGAGGCAGCAGUGGGGAAUAUUGCACAAUGGGGGAAACCCUGAUGCAGCAACGCCGCGUGAAGGAAGAAGGCCUUCGGGUUGUAAACUUCUGUCCUAGGGGAAGAAACAAAUGACAUACCCUGGA
rnacentral:rRNA from 1 species